rnacentral:rRNA from 1 species
UCCUACGGGAGGCAGCAGUGAGGAAUAUUGGUCAAUGGGCGGAAGCCUGAACCAGCCAUGCCGCGUGCGGGAAGGAGGCCCUAUGGGCUGUGAACCGCUUUUGCCUGGGGGCAAUAAGGGCGUCGCGCACGUCCGAUGAGAGUACCAGGCGAAUAAGCAUCGGCUAACUCCGUGCCAGCAGCCGCGGUAAUACGGGGGAUGCGAGCGUUAUCCGGAUUCAUUGGGUUUAAAGGGUGCGUAGGCUGUGCGUCAAGUCGGGGGUGAAAUUCCGGUGCUCAACACCGGGGCUGCCCUUGAUACUGUCGCGCUGGAGUGCGGAUGCCGCCGGAGGAAUGAGUGGUGUAGCGGUGAAAUGCUUAGAUAUCACUCAGAACACCGAUUGCGAAGGCAUCUGGCGAAUCCGUAACUGACGCUGAGGCACGAAAGCGUGGGGAUAGAACAGGAUUAGAUACCCUGGUAUUCCACGCCGUAAACGAUGAUGGCUAACCGCCGGCGACACACUGUCGGUGGCCAAGCGAAAGCGAUAAGCCAUCCACCUGGGGAGUACGUCGGCAACGAUGAAACUCAAAGGAAUUGACGGGGGCCCGCACAAGCGGAGGAACAUGUGGUUUAAUUCGAUGAUACGCGAGGAACCUUACCCGGGCUCGAACGGCACCUGAAUCACCCAGAGAUGGGCGAGUCUUCGGACAGGUGUCGAGGUGCUGCAUGGUUGUCGUCAGCUCGUGCCGUGAGGUGUCGGCUCAAGUGCCAUAACGAGCGCAACCCUUGCCGCCAGUUGCCAUCAGGUGAUGCUGGGCACUCUGGCGGGACUGCCACCGCAAGGUGUGAGGAGGGGGGGGAUGACGUCAAAUCAGCACGGCCCUUACGUCCG